CUACGGAAGGCAGCAGUAAGGGAUAUUGCACAAUGGGCGAAAGCCUGAUGCAGCAACGCCGCGUGCACGAUGAAGGCCUUCGGGUCGUAAAGUGCUUUUCUGGGAGAAGAGGAAGGACGGUACCCCAGGAAGAAGUGUCGGCUAACUACGUGCCAGCAGCCGCGGUAAAACGUAGGACGCGAGCGUUAUCCGGAGUUACUGGGCGUAAAGGGCGGGUAGGCGGCGUAUCAAGUUGGUUGUGAAAUCUCCUGGCUAAACUGGGAGGGUGCAAUCGAAACUGAUAGGCUAGAGGACAGCAGAGGGCCGUGGAAUUCCGCGUGGAGUGGUGAAAUGCGUAGAGAUCCGGAGGAACACCAGAGGCGAAAGCGGCGGCCUGGGCUGUAACUGACGCUGAACCGCGAAAGCCAGGGGAGCGAACGGGAUUAGAAACCCCUGUAGUCCG
rnacentral:rRNA from 1 species